ACAAGUCUACAGCAGACGUUAGCUCAGGACAGUUAUUGUAUAAUAAAUAUUCAACUGUUACUGAUGAUCAUUUGUUGUUAAUAGAUAUUGUAAUGGCUAGGAAGAUGCCUAGAAGGUUAUUUGUACAGCCACACACUUCAAUUGAUACUGAUGGUUCUGUUGUUCUUAAUGAGUUUGAUAGUUCAUUUGAAGGAAUCAUUUCCUCAUUUCUAGCAAGAUAUCCUAACUAUGAUACUGAACUGGAGUCUCUUUGGAGAAAUGACCAGCAUUAUUGGAAACAAAAAUAGACACAAUACAUAAUACAUUUGAUACAAAUUAAAGAACUAGAAAUUUACUUGUGUGUGCAUAUCGAGUAUUAUAGUGAUUAAUUGUCA